GGGGGUGUGGCUCAGCAGUAGAGCACUCGCCUAACACGUGCGUGGCCCUGAGUUCGAUCCUCAGCACCACAU
rfam:Ictidomys tridecemlineatus contig010012, whole genome shotgun sequence.